ACCUGUUACUCCUGCUCAAAUCAUACCACAAAGGAUUCCUGCACGGACAUACAACACUGCCCGGCUGGACAGGUUUGCCAACUUGUCCCCAAAAUCUCCAUUGCAACCCAUACAUAUCACUUCGAGUCGUCCUGUGCCGUGCAUGCGGACUGUGAAGCUAAAGUUGCCGCCUUAACGCAGGGAAUACUGGGUAGAAAAAGAG